CCAUAACUACGUCUACAUAACCGACGCCUACCCCAGUUUCAUAGUAUUUUCUGG
rfam:Potato virus X genes for 166K protein, 25K protein, 12K protein, 8K protein, coat protein.